rnacentral:rRNA from 1 species
UACAGAGGUCUCAAGCGUUGUUCGGAUUCAUUGGGCGUAAAGGGUGCGUAGGUGGCGUGGUAAGUCGGGAUGUGAAAUCCCGGGGCUCAACCCCGGAACUGCAUUCGAUACUGCCUUGCUAGAGUACUGGAGAGGAGAUUGGAAUUUACGGUGUAGCAGUGAAAUGCGUAGAUAUCGUAAGGAAGACCAGUGGCGAAGGCGGAUCUCUGGACAGUUACUGACACUGAGGCACGAAGGCCAGGGGAGCAAACGGG